rnacentral:rRNA from 1 species
AUUGAACGCUGGCGGCAGGCCUAACACAUGCAAGUCGAGCGAGCGGCGGACGGGCGAGUAAUGUAUGGGGACUGCCCGAUAGAGGGGGAUAACUACUGGAAACGGUAGCUAAUACCGCAUACUAUCGGAUAACCCAUAUGGGAUUAGCUAGUUGGUGAGGUAAUGGCUCACCAAGGCGAUGAUCUCUAGCUGGGCUGAGAGGUUGAACAGCCACACUGGGACUGAGACACGGCCCAGACUCCUACGGAGGCAGCAGUGGGGAAUAUUGCACAAGGGGCGCAAGCCUGAUGCAGCCAUGCCGCGUGUAUGAAGAAGGCCCUAGGGUUGUAAAGUACUUUCAGUCGGGAGGCGUUAACUACAGAGGAAGCACCGGCUAACUCCGUGCCAGCAGCCGCGGUAAUUC